rnacentral:rRNA from 1 species
UACGUAGGGUGCGAGCGUUGUCCGGAAUUAUUGGGCGUAAAGGGCUCGUAGGCGGUUUGUCGCGUCGGGAGUGAAAUCCACUGGCUUAACUGGUGGCUUGCUUUCGAUACGGGCAGACUGGAGGUAUGCAGGGGAGAACGGAAUUCCUGGUGUAGCGGUGAAAUGCGCAGAUAUCGGGAGGAACACCUGUGGCGAAGGCGGCCCCCUGGUUGGAUACUGACGCUGAUACGCGAAAGCGUGGGGAGCAAACAGG